rnacentral:rRNA from 1 species
UACAGAGGGGGCAAGCGUUGUUCGGAAUUACUGGGCGUAAAGGGCGCGUAGGCGGCCUUCUAAGUCGAACGUGAAAUCCCUCGGCUUAACCGGGGGAACUGCGUCUGAUACUGGAUGGCUUGAGUUCGGGAGAGGGAUGCGGAAUUCCAGGUGUAGCGGUGAAAAUGCGUAGAUAUCUGGAGGAACACCGGGUGGCGAAGGCGGCAUCCUGGACCGAUACUGACGCUGAGGAGCGAAAAGCCAGGGGGAGCAAACGGGG